CACCAGCCCCUCGAGUGGUGGGGAUGAUUAUUUGGCCUAAAGCGUCCGUAGCCGGCCGGGUAAGUUUCCCGUUAAAUCCAACGUCUCAAGCGUUGGACUGCGGGAAAUACUGCCUGGCUAGAGAGUGGGAGAGGUGUACGGUAUUCUGGGGGUAGGGGCGAAAUCCUUUGAUCCCUGGAGGACCACCAGUGGCGAAGGCUGUACACUAGAACACGUCUGACGGUCAGGGACGAAAGCUGGGGUAGCGAACCGGAUUAGAUACCCGGGUAGUCCCAGCUGUAAACGAUGCAUGCUAGGUGUUGGGUUGGCCACGAGCCACCCCAGUGCCGCAGGGAAGCCGUUAAGCAUGCCGCCUGGGAAGUACGAUCGCAAGAUUGAAACUUAAAGGAAUUGGCGGGGGAGCACCACCAGGCGUGAAGCCUGCGGUUU
rnacentral:rRNA from 1 species